rnacentral:snRNA from 1 species
AAAAUUACCCUGCAGGGGAGAUACCAUGAUCACGAAGGUGGUUUUCCCAGGGCGAGGCUCAUCCAUUGCACUCCGGAUGUGCUGACCCCUGUAAUUUCCCCAAAUGUGGGAAACUCGACUGCAUGAUUUGUGGUAGCAGGGGACUGUGUUCGAGCUUUCCCUAG